UAAACUCAAAGGGAAUUGACGGGGGCCCGCACAAGCGGCGGAGCAUGUGGCUUAAUUCGACGCAACGCGAAGAACCUUACCAAGGCUUGACAUACACCGGAAAGCAUCAGAGAUGGUGCCCCCCUUGUGGUCGGUGUACAGGUGGUGCAUGGCUGUCGUCAGCUCGUGUCGUGAGAUGUUGGGUUAAGUCCCGCAACGAGCGCAACCCUUGUCCCGUGUUGCCAGCAGGCCCUUGUGGUGCGGGUCCGGAG
rnacentral:rRNA from 1 species